UACGUAGGGUGCGAGCGUUGUCCGGAAUUAUUGGGCGUAAAGCGCGCGCAGGCGGUUAAUUAAGUUGGGUGUUUAAGCCCGGGGCUCAACCCCGGUUCGCAUCCAAAACUGGUUGACUUGAGUGUAGGAGAGGAAAGUGGAAUUCCACGUGUAGCGGUGAAAUGCGUAGAGAUGUGGAGGAACACCAGUGGCGAAGGCGGCUUUCUGGUCUGUAACUGACGCUGAGGCGCGAAAGCGUGGGGAGCAAACAGG
rnacentral:rRNA from 1 species